rnacentral:SRP_RNA from 12 species
GCCGGGCGUUGUGGCGAGCGCUUGUAAUCCAGCUACUUGGAGGCUUGGACCAGUGGAUGUCUUGAGAGCGGGAGUUCUGUGCCUGGUUGUGCUCAUGUUGACCGAGCGUCCGCAUCAAGCAUGGCGUCAACAUGGUUGAUUCUGAGGAGUCAGAGCCGACCAGGUUCGUCAAAGAGGGUCGGACCGGCCGAGGGCGGAAACGCAGCAGGCAAAAGUCCCCGCGUCAGCGCAGUGAUGGGAUAGCGCUCGCGAAUAAGCCGCCGGGUACAGCCCGCUCAAGAAACUCAGACCUGGUCCUUA